UUCGUAGGCGGUGUGGCAAGUUGGGAGUGAAAUCUCUGGGCUCAACCCAGAGGCUGCUUCCAAAACUGCUGUGCUGGAGUGUGGGAGAGGCGCGUGGAAUUGCAGGUGUAGCGGUGAAAUGCGUAGAUAUCUGCAGGAACACCCGUGGCGAAAGCGGCGCGCUGGACCACAACUGACGCUGAGGAACGAAAGCUAGGGGAGCAAACAGGAUUAGAUACCCUGGUAGUCCUAGCCCUAAACGAUCAGGACUUGGGGUGCCGCCCGUUCGGGCGUCGUCCCGGAGCUAACGCGUUAAGUCCUGCACCUGGGGAGUACGGUCGCAAGACUGAA
rnacentral:rRNA from 1 species